ACAGAGUUGAUCCAGAACCACUGAUCAUCCCACGAGCAUAUUCAUCAACUUUAGCAGCCAGUUCAUGCAUUGGACCGCCAAUUUGUUUUGCAACUCCCUGCAACAAUCUCAGUCAGAAUGAAGGAAUCUCAAUUUCGUAAAUGCAAUUGUUACAAGAAGUUUCUAGAGCUUGAUUGGAGCAGAGCAGAGAAUUACCAAGUCCUGCUGAGAUGGUGGUAGAGCUGUGACCCGUGCCAAAGCAAUCAAAUUCACUCUCCGAGCGCUUUGUGAAACCUGAUAACCCAUUUGUCUGCCUUAUAGUGUGCAUCUUAUCUCUUCUCCCAGUCAGGAUCUUGUGUGGGUAAGACUGAAAACCAAUAGAAAAUACAUUCAGAUUGAGAACAAUUACCAUAUUCAUAUUUUUAUGUUUUGCUAGUAGGACUAAUUUCACAAGAAACAAGCGCUAUACAACAAAAGGAAAACACCAGGGAAGUGAGAUUAGGACCUGAUGACCAACAUCCCAUAAUAUCUUAUCUUGAGGGGCGUUAAAGACGUAAUGGAGAGCCACAGUGAGCUCAACAACACCCAGGCUCGAGCCUAGGUGGCCUCCAGUUUUGGAAACAUUAAAGAUGACAUCGGACCGGAUUUCAUCUGCAAGUUGUUUCAGCUCCUGCAUCAUGGCUUCCGUGUGAAGAUUUGGAGAGAAAAACUAUGUACUAGCAUAUGAAGUUCCUCUUGAAACGAAAUUAUAGAAGACGACAAGACGUAUGCUUAAGUUAUACCUUUA